UACGCAGGGUGCUAGCGGUGUUCGGAAUUACUGGGCGUAACGCGCACGCAGGUGGAUGUAUAAGUCAGGGGUGAAAUCCCGGGGCUCAACCUCGGAAUUGCCUUUGAUACUGUCUAUCUUGAGUCCGGGAGAGGUGAGUGGAAUUCCUAGUGUAGAGGUGAAAUUCGUAGAUAUUAGGAAGAACACCAGUGGCGAAGGCGGCUCACUGGCCCGGUACUGACGCUCAUGUGCGAAAGCGUGGGGAGCAAACAGG
rnacentral:rRNA from 1 species